AUUGGGCGUAUAGGGCUCGCAGGCGGUUUCUUAAGUCUGAUGUGAAAGCCCCCGGCUCAACCGGGGAGGGUCAUUGGAAACUGGGAAACUUGAGUGCCGAAGAGGAGAGUGGAAUUCCACGUGUAGCGGUGAAAUGCGUAGAGAUGUGGAGGAACACCAGUGGCGAAGGCGACUCUCUGGUCUGUCACUGUCGCUGAGGAACGAAAGCGUGGGGAGCGAACAGGAUUAAAUACCCU
rnacentral:rRNA from 1 species